rnacentral:rRNA from 1 species
ACGAACGCUGGCGGCGUGCCUAAUACAUGCAAGUCGAACGCUUCUUUUUCCACCGGAGCUUGCUCCACCGGAAAAAGAGGAGUGGCGAACGGGUGAGUAACACGUGGGUAACCUGCCCAUCAGAAGGGGAUAACACUUGGAAACAGGUGCUAAUACCGUAUAACAAUCGAAACCGCAUGGUUUUGAUUUGAAAGGCGCUUUCGGGUGUCGCUGAUGGAUGGACCCGCGGUGCAUUAGCUAGUUGGUGAGGUAACGGCUCACCAAGGCGACGAUGCAUAGCCGACCUGAGAGGGUGAUCGGCCACAUUGGGACUGAGACACGGCCCAAACUCCUACGGGAGGCAGCAGUAGGGAAUCUUCGGCAAUGGACGAAAGUCUGACCGAGCAACGCCGCGUGAGUGAAGAAGGUUUUCGGAUCGUAAAACUCUGUUGUUAGAGAAGAACAAGGAUGAGAGUAACUGUUCAUCCCUUGACGGUAUCUAACCAGAAAGCCACGGCUAACUACGUGCCAGCAGCCGCGGUAAUACGUAGGUGGCAAGCGUUGUCCGGAUUUAUUGGGCGUAAAGCGAGCGCAGGCGGUUUCUUAAGUCUGAUGUGAAAGCCCCCGGCUCAACCGGGGAGGGUCAUUGGAAACGGGGAGACUGGAGUGCAGAAGAGGAGAGUGGAAUUCCAUGUGUAGCGGUGAAAUGCGUAGAUAUAUGGAGGAACACCAGUGGCGAAGGCGGCUCUCUGGUCUGUAACUGACGCUGAGGCUCGAAAGCGUGGGGAGCAAACAGGAUUAGAUACCCUGGUAGUCCACGCCGUAAACGAUGAGUGCUAAGUGUUGGAGGGUUUCCGCCCUUCAGUGCUGCAGCUAACGCAUUAAGCACUCCGCCUGGGGAGUACGACCGCAAGGUUGAAACUCAAAGGAAUUGACGGGGGCCCGCACAAGCGGUGGAGCAUGUGGUUUAAUUCGAAGCAACGCGAAGAACCUUACCUGCUCUUGACAUCCCGGUGACGGCAGAGUAAUGUCUGCUUUUCUUCGGAACACCGGUGACAGGUGGUGCAUGGUUGUCGUCAGCUCGUGUCGUGAGAUGUUGGGUUAAGUCCCGCAACGAGCGCAACCCUUAUUGUUAGUUGCCAUCAUUUAGUUGGGCACUCUAGCAAGACUGCCGGUGACAAACCGGAGGAAGGUGGGGAUGACGUCAAAUCAUCAUGCCCCUUAUGACCUGGGCUACACACGUGCUACAAUGGGAAGUACAACGAGUCGCAAAGUCGCGAGGCUAAGCUAAUCUCUUAAAGCUUCUCUCAGUUCGGAUUGUAGGCUGCAACUCGCCUACAUGAAGCCGGAAUCGCUAGUAAUCGCGGAUCAGCACGCCGCGGUGAAUACGUUCCCGGGCCUUGUACACACCGCCCGUCACACCACGAGAGUUUGUAACACCCGAAGUCGGUGAGGUAACCUUUUGGAGCCAGCCGCCUAAGGUGGGAUAGAUGAUUGGGGUG